GACAGAGGGUGCAAACGUUGUUCGGAAUUACUGGGCGUAAAGGCGCGAUGUAGGCUGCUUCGGAAAGUCGGAUGUGAAAGCCCUGGGCUCAACCUAGGAAGUGAUUCGAAACUUCCGAGCUGGAGUGCUGGAGAGGAAGGCGGAAUUCUCGGUGUAGAGGUGAAAUUCGUAGAUAUCGAGAGGAACACCGGUGGCGAAGGCGGCCUUCUGGACAGCCCACUGACGCUGAGGCGCGACAGCGUGGGGAGCAAACAGG
rnacentral:rRNA from 1 species